UUUAAGCACACAUCACUCUUUGUAUCUUCAUUUAAUAUGAAGAUGGUAUCCAAGGGAGAUAACUGCUUUGAAAGGGAAGUGUUUUUGUUUUGUUUUUUUAAUUUUGUUUCGCUUUCUGAGGGGUUUUCAUCACUUAAAUGCAUUAUUCCGUUUGUGUGUGGAAAAGAAAAGAAGGAGAGAUGUCUGAAAUGUCUCUAGUCUUAAACUGAUUUUCCGUGACUUGGAGCCCACUCUGAAGUGUUCAGGCCUCCUGGGGUACCAGGAAAAUUGCACAGCAAGUGCCUCCAUUCUGCCUUCGUACCUGUGUGCUGCAGAUAAUAAAGUGUGAUGAUGUUGGAGAAGGAUUCCCCAUUUCCAGCGAGGAAACCCGCCCAGGGCUACGUGACGGAAUGGGCAGCACGACCCGCUCCUCGGUUCAGGUGGCGGUGUCUCUGCUAAUUGACGCUGGGUUUUAAGAAUGGCACAUUAAAAUUUCCGUUUAAAAAACCACACACGUCACCUCAGUAAGUUCAAACCCACCCAAAUGUGAAGACAGAAUGUGGCCAGCAGAGCUCCUCUGAAUUCGUCCACUGUCUUGUCUCAGUUUCUUUAUUACCGAGAAGCCGUACAUCACAGCAGUUUUAUUAAAAAUGUCAUCGGUCCCUCCCUGGUGGUUUUAUAGAUCUGGCAAUCGUGUUUCUAUGAGAGUAAAAGCAUCCGAACAGUCAGAGAAGUACGAACCAUCCUCAGGUACACCUAGAUUAAAGGAUAUUGUACAAUCCACUAACAGGGUGCAGCAUUUCUGCCGGCUGAAGGAAGUGGGCAGCUUUGAUCAGAAUUCACAAUAAUAUAUCUCCCUUGUGUGAUAAAUGAUUUACUGCUGAGGAUAAAUGGAUAUAAUCUUUCAUUAUGCAUGACAUUCAUCAGCAACAAGGAAGCUUUGGGCUGAAUGGAAAGUGAUUUCAUAUUAAAAGCCUCCUGCAACUCAGACUGCGACGAAAGUGAGGCCUUGCCUUGAAAAAAUAAAUGGCACAGGCUUGUAAGUUUAAGCGGAUGCUCAGUCAGAUGUAAUCAUUACCGUAAAUUGGAAAAUCUGUUAGGAGGAAACCGGGGAAAUAUAUGGCUAGAUCAAUCUCAAUUUUGCACAAAAAGCCCCAUUUUUAAACCAUACUAUCCUACUUACUGAAAUGUGUCAUUAAGUCCCAACUUUGAAAGCUGAAAGUAGUGAUAGAACCAGGUGAGGGGAGAGAGCAGAGGUGGGGUGUUGUGUAAGUGACUGAAAUCCCUGUCAUUAUAGAAAGUUAUGCACAAUGCACCAUAACUAAAGUAGAUAAAUCAAAAAACAGAGGCUCCACGUGUUAUUUAGAGAUACGAAGUUAACAACCACGAAAAUGCCCAACGAAAAUGGUUCAGUAAGCAUGUCUGUGUGUUUGGGGAGGGGAUAUGUGUUGGGGAAAUGGGAGGUAGAGCACCGGUUCAGAAGGGCAAGACAAAGGUUGUGGCUUUUCAUUGUAAGCACAUUAAUGUUUUUCACUUAUUAAAAUGUACACAUUUAGAUGAUAAAGAAGUUUAAGUACCACAAAUCAUUUAAUUUUAAAAAUGACUCAGGUUUUUUGCUUCCUUGACUCUGUGACUCAGUUAAUAAUAUCACAUCUUCAUUUGAUUUUCAGUAAUAAGAAUUCCCCGAUACUGUCGUAUAUCUCAGAAACAAACAAGAUAUAACAUGAAAGACAAUGUGAAGGGAUGAGAAGGCAAGCCACAGACUGGGAGAAAUAUUUGUAGAAAGACACAUCUGAUAAAUGAGUGUUAUCCAAAUCACACAAAGAACUCUUAAUAUUCAAUAAUAAGAAAAUAAACAACCCAAUUUAAAACAGAAACAACAGGUCAUAGAUCUUAACAGACAGUUCACCAAAGAAGAUAUACAGAUGGCAGUUAAUCAUAUGAAAAGAUGCUCCACACUGUAUAUCAUCAGAGAAAUGCAAAUUAAAGCCACAGUG